UAGACGUUGAUGUUUCAGUGAGAGGAGGAUGGCAGCGACAUAGUGGAAGAAAACUUCACCUACAGGAGGAGCAAGACCUGAGAAAUAUCCCGAAGCCCAGUGGCGAUUUUCAGCCUGUUGAUACCAGCCAGCAAACCAAGCUACCGCCGCUAGCUUAGCGACAUUAGCCCGUUAGCCACUAGCUUAGCGACAUUAGCCCGUUAGCCACUAGCUUAGCGACAUUAGCGCGAGAGCCGCUAGCUUGGUGACAUUAGCCCGUUAGCCGCUAGCUUGGCCACAUUAGCCCGUUAGCCGCUAGCUUGGCGACACUAGCCCCGACAGCCCGGCGGCACCGGGCCCAGUGGCUUCCCGCCCCCAGAGCCUCGGCAAGAGGAGCUAGUCGGGCCCGGCGCACCUGUCUCUUCUGCAGCUUCCAGUAAAGAGCUGCCAGAUUCCUGCAGCGCGGGGCCUGGUCUCCAGGGAGACGGACGUCCAGGCUGACCGGGUCAAAACGCUGCCGGAGGCCGGAAUAAAGCAGCAGAUGUGCCGGCAUCAGAGCGCUGCAACAGUUCAUGUGGUGCUGCUGCUGGUUUGGACCUGGAGCUUGGUCCAGCUGGGUGUCUUACCUGGGAAGGUGUGGGGUUGGGACCGCCGGGUCGGCCGUUGUGGAUGUAGACCAGCCCUCUGUGGUCCGGACUGCCGUACGGAGCCGAGAUGGCCACGUCUGGAGAGAGGAAACAGAGGUCAGAGGCAAUAUCUCUCAAAAUCUGGAGGGCGGGAUGCCGUGAACUUUGGACGGGCACAUUCAUGCUCCCCAGAGGAUGAACCCGCUCAGCAUCGGCGACCUCAUGACCACGGCACAGAUUUGGCUUGUACAUAAUAUACUGAUAUCUAAUGGGCUGAUUGCCAUGAAAUUUGGUCGCCCAGCGCGGCGAUGGAAGAGCCGUACCUCGCAUAAACCUCCGACCCCGUCAGUUUCUGAGGGGGGUGGAAGGAAAACCCCCCUCGACCCAGUUUGCCAUCUGAACCUCUGUCCAUGAAGAGAGGAGCUCCAACCAGCACAUCGACCAUGCUGACACACACACACACACACAGAA